UUUUAAAUUAGAAAGAUCGGCUUUAUUAGCAUUAUCUCUUUCUUCUAUAUACACAACUUACAUAUAAACUUAUCAUUAUUAUUACAAAACAAGAAAAAUGCCUUAAAAUAAGAUGGUUCUCAUUUUACACCAUUUUGAUGGCAAGAAAAACCAACUCUAUUAGGCUUCCACUCAAUUGAAUGUAUGGCUAGCAGUAGUGGUGCUGUUGUGCGGCGUCCUUUGGAGGCUUACCAAUGAGAAGUAAGCUCCUGUAGGUCCCCUUGCCAACAAGGACGAGUGAGUCCCUUGCUCCACCAUCUGCCCUUUAUCUAAAACGGCAAUAAGAUCACAGUUCUGUAUAGUACUUAGCCUAUGUGCCACAACAACACUUGUUCUCCCAACCAUCACGCGCUGUAACGCGUCUUGCACUACCUUCUCUGACUGACUAUCAAGCGCGCUGGUUGCCUCGUCCAAUAGUAACACUGCAGGAUUUUUCAGUAUUGCACGGGCUAUUGCAAUACGCUGCUUCUGUCCACCUGAUAGCUGCACUCCCCUAUCCCCACACCACGUGUCAUAUCCAUCUUUCAAUCCUGCGAUGAAAUCAUGAGCGUUGGCUGCCUUUGCUGCGUCGAUGAUCUCUGAUUCAUCGUUUUUAUUUGGUGCACCGUACACAAUGUUUUCCCUUAUGGUCCCAGCAAAUAAUGUGGGCUCUUGGCUGACCAGAGCUAUAUACUUCCUCAAUGAUCUCAAAUGAUAUGACUUGAUGUCUCGACCGUCUAUUUUCACCGUCCCCCUAAUUGGAUCAUAAAAUCUCUCGAUUAAUCCAAUGAUGGUCGAUUUUCCGGAUCCACUUUGUCCCACCAACGCCGUUGAUUUCCCUGCCUCAAUGUUGAUUGAGAAGCCUUUGAAUAUGAUCACUUCAGGCCUAGCUGGGUAUGCAAAGUCCACAUCUCGAAGCUCUACAUUGCCCAUUAUCGUUUCAGGCUUGAACCCAUCAGAGUCUUCAGGCUCAAUUUUCGUGUACCGGUCCAACACGGUGAAGACUGAACCAACAGCAUCCGAGCCCUUGGCUAGGUCAGUGGUCAUGCUUCCAGCAUCGGCUAUGACACGGCCUGUGCUUACCAAAACCAUGAACGUCUCAAAUAAGGCUUUAGCAGAGAUAUACCCUUCGGCAAUAAGCCUUCCACCAUACCAAAAAUCAAGAGCCCAAGUGCACGACAUUAGGCUUUGAGAGGUGCCGAGUCCAACUCCUGCAAACAAGGAUUGUCUAAUGCUUUCUCUCUGUGGGCCUUCUUGGGCUUUUUCGAGCAUUCGAAGAAUUCGAUCUUGGGAGGAGAAGGCAGUGAUGGUUCGGAGAUUGGACACUGCUUCUGCUGCGACCUUGGUGCUUUCAUCUUGGGCUUUGAUGGCCUUCUGGGACAUGCUUUUGAGCAGAACACGUCUGGUGUAAAAACAGACAAUGAUGAGAGGUUGGACUGCUAUCAUCACAACAGCAAGCCUCCAGGCAAUGACAAGGCCCAUUGUGCAGGCUAUGGUUACAGCUGAUACUGUUUGUACUACAAGAGCCAUUCGGUCACCCACUAGAGAUCUCACCACAUUGGCAUCUUUGGCAAGUCUGGAGCAAAUUGCACCACUUGAAUUCUCAUCUUGAUCAAACCACCCAACUUCAAAAGUCAGUAUCUGUGAAAGCAUCCUCUCUCUUAUCCUCUUGGUCAAGUACUCACCCAUGUAUGCAAAAUUAUAGUGCUGAACAAUGUUAACGAUCAUUGAGAAUAUUGCGAGCCCCAGAAAGCAUAAUGAGUAAAUCCUUAUCUGCUUCUUAAUCUCAUCAUGAUCAGUGUAAAAAUAUAUAGAUAUCAUUGACCCCAUUGCAAAUGCAUAUAAGGGUUGAACCCCACCAAAUAAAAUUGCACCUAAGCACCCAAAGCUUGCUUGUUUCCAUUCUGGCAAGUUCAAAGCUAGCAGUCUACGGAAUGAGGGUAAUGGAAAUUUUUGCUCCUCUAAUUGUAUAUUUUCUCCGGUGAUCGAACCUCGACUUGGAGCCAUUGAAUUGGCAGAACUCGACCUACUCACCAUUGAUAACCUGCGACUGCUAGUAUUAUUCAUGUCCAUUUUCGAGAUUAAAGAUGAAGAGGGUAAAUGAUAUUGAUCAUCUUCAUUGGUUUUUUCUUUUUCUCUUUGUUGAAGACGGACUAAGGUUGCGUAUGGUCCAUCUUCAAUUUCCAUUAAUUCAUCGUGAGAACCUGUUUCCAUCACCUGGCCAUCUUGGACCACGGCAAUUAUGUCGGCGUUUCGGAUGGUGGAGAGACGGUGAGCUAUGACGAUGGAGGUGCGGCCAACAGCGGCUUUAUCUAGUGCCUCUUGGACAAUGCGUUCGGAUUCCGAGUCUAACGCACUUGUUGCCUCGUCAAGGAGGAGGAUUCUUGGCGCUUUGAUUAUUGCUCUUGCAAUAGCAAUUCUUUGUUUU
rnacentral:misc_RNA from 1 species